rnacentral:lncRNA from 1 species
CUCCUUCAAAAAUGCCUUUGCCUUGCGAGUCGGCAUCCAGACACCUCGAAUCUAGCCACAAGCAGUACAAUACAAUCAAUAUAGGCUUAAGGAAUCAAUUCCACAAGAAAAAUGCAAAAUUAUAGCUCAAAACCCGAAAUUGGCUCAAACUGCGGGCCCACGUCUUGAAAUCCGACAAAAGUCACAAAACCCGAAAGCCCAUUCACUCACGAGUCUAGCCAUACCAAAAUUUUCAAAAUCCGAUGCCAAAUGGCCAUUUAAAUACCCAAAUAUCACUCUCUAAAAUCCGUAGCCCUAAACCCCCAAAUUUCAACUCAAAAACUCACCAACUAGGUGUAAAAUCAGUGGGGAAACAUCGUUAUUGAAGAAGAAUGAACACAAAGAUCUUGCCUCAGUAAUCUCUUUGAAAACCCUCUCAAAAAUCUCCAUAGUCUGAGCUCAAAGUGAUGAAAGUGGUAAAAAAUCUCGAAGUCUUGCAUUUAUAUGUUCUGCCCAGGCCUUUCGUACCUGCGGCCAUUUAUCCGCACCUGCGGAACCGCUUCUACGGUAAAAUUUCCGCUUCUGCGGAAGUCACUUAUCCAGCUGCCUCUGCUUCUGCGAGAAUUGCCUCCGCUUCUACGGGUAAUCUAUUGCACCUGUAGAUCCAACCUGCAUCUGCGCACCUCAGCCCGCUUCUGCGAUUAUCAUAGGUGCGGGAUAGUCUUCGCACCUUCUACCACUGCUCAACUUUUUCCCUAUUCUCUUCUGCGAUUCACGCCUUGCUUCUGCGGGCUCGCACCUGCGGUGCCCACUCCACAGGUGCGGUUACACCACUAGUAGCAUCACUUCAGCUGCUUCACUAAUUCAAAACAAAGUCCGUUAACCACUCGAAAUCAACCUGAGGCCCCCGGGACCUCAACAAAACAUACCAACAAGUCCUAAAUCACGAUUCGAACUUAGUCGAACCCUCAAAUAACCUCAAACAACAUCAAAAACACGAAUUACUCACGAAUUCAAGCCUAAUGAACUUUGAAAUUUUCCAAAUUCUACAAACCACGCUGAAACCUAUCAAAUCACGUCCGAUUGAACUCAAAUUUUGCACACAAGUCAUAAAUGACACCACGAACCUACUCCAACUUCCGGAAAGCCAAUCCCACCCUGGUGCCAAAAAGUCCGCUCCCGGUCAAACUUUCCAAAACUCCAACUUUUGCCAAUUCAAGCCUAAUUCUACUAUAAACCUCCAAAUCACAACCCGGACAUGCUCCUAAGUCCAAAAUCACCUAACGGAGAUAACAGAACCAUCAAAAUUCGAAUCCGAGGUCAUUUACACAUAAGUCAACAUCCAAUCGACUUUUCCAACUUAAGCUUUCAGUUAAAAGACUAAGUGUCUCAAUUCACUCCGACAUCACUCCAGACCCGAACCAAAUAACCUGAUAAGUCGUAUAACAGCUGAAGAAAACAAAAGAAGCAAAAAAUGGGAGAACAUGGCUACAACUCUCAAAACGCCCGGCCGGGUCGUUACAUCCUCCCCCUCUUAAAUAAACUUUUGUCCUCGAACGGGUCUAGAAACAUACCCGGAGUCUCAAAUAAGUGUGGAUAUUUGCGCAUCUCCCGCUCGGUCUCCCAAGUAGCCUCCUCCAUGGGCUAAACUCUCCAUUUCACCAUCACUGAAGCUAUAUCUUUUGAUCUCAACUUUCGAACCUGCCGAUCCAAAAUGGCCACCGGCUCCAAAUCUCCGAAGCACCUCAAACGGCUCAAUAAAUCGAGGGCUCAACUUGCCUUUCUUCCCAAAUCUCAAAACACCCUUUAUGGGUGAAACCUUCAGUAGAACCUUCUCCAUAACCAUGUAAGACACAUCACGAACCUUCCUGUCAGCAUAACUCUUUUGUCUAGACUGCAUCAUGUGAAGCCUCUCCUGAAUCAAUUUCACCUUGUCUAAUUCAUCUUGAACCAAGUUUGUACCCAGAAGCCUGGCCUCACCUGGCUCAAACCAACCCACCAGAAAUCUACACCGCCUCCCAUAUAAAGCCUCAUAUGGAGCCAUCUGGAUGCUCGACUGAUAACUAUUAUUGUAAGCAAACUCCGCGAGCGGCAAAAACUGGUCCCAUGAACCCCCAAAAUCAAUGACACAAGCGCGUAACAUGUCCUCCAAUAUAUGAAUAGUGUGCUCGGACUGUCCAUUCGUCUGAGGGUGAAAUGCUAUACUUAACUCAACUUGAGUGCCCAACUCUCGCUGCACGACUCUCCAAAACUGCAAUGUAAACUGCGUGCCUCUAUCUGAAAUGAUGGAAACUGGCACACCAUGAUGACGAAUAAUCUCUCUGAUGUAAAUCUCAACCAACCGCUCUAAAGAAUAAGUAUUACCAACUGGAAUGAAGUGCUCGAACUUGGUCAGCCGAUCCACAAUCACCCAAAUAGCAUCGAACUUCCUCAAAGUCCGUGGAAGCCCUACUACGAAAUCCAUGGUGAUCCGCUCCCACUUCCAUUCUAGAAUCUCCAUCCUCUGAAGCAACCCACCCGAUCUCUAAUGAUCAUAUUUUAACUACUGGCAGUUGAGACACCAAGCUACAAACCCAACUAUAUCCUUCUUCAUUCUCCUCCACUAAUAUUGCUGCCUCAAAUCCUGAUACAUCUUUGCGCACACGGAUGAAUAGAAUACCGCGAGUUGUGGGCCUCCUCAAGAAUCAACUCCCGUAGCCCAUCAACAUUGGGCACACAUAUCUGGCCCUGCAUCCUCAACACGCCAUCAUCUCCAAUAGUCACAUCUCUAGCAUCACCUCUCUGAACCAUGUUCUUGAGAAGAAGCAAGUGAGGAUCGUCAUACUGUCACUCUCUGAUGUGAUCAAACAUAGAAGACCGAGAUACCACACAGGCUAGAACCCGACUUGGAUUCAAAAUAUCCAAUCUCACAAACUGGUUGGCCAAAGCCUGAACAUCAACUGCAAGAGGUCUCUCACCAACAGGAAUGAAUGCAAGACUACACAUACUCACUGCCUUCCUACUCAAGGCAUCGGCUACCACAUUGGCCUUUCCUGGAUGAUACAAAAUAGUGAUAUCAUAGUCCUUUAGAAGCUCCAACCAUCUAUGUUGCCUCAAAUUGGGAUCCUUAUAUUUGAACAAGUGCUGGAGGCUACAAUAAUCAGUAAAUACCUCACAAGACAAACCAUAGAGAUAGUGCCACCAAGUCUUCAAUGCAUGAAAAAUGGCAGCCAACUCCAAAUCAUGAACAAGGUUGUUCUUCUUAUGCGGCUUCAACUGGCACGAAGCAUAAGCAAUCAGUCUACCCUCCUGCAUUAAAACACACCCAAUACCAAUCCGAGAAGCAUCAUAAUAUAGUGCAUAAGAACCAGAAGCAGAUGGUAGAACUAGAACUGGAGCUGUGGCCAAGGAAGUCUUGAGCUUUUAAAAGCUCGCCUCACACUCAUCCGAACACAUGAAAGGAGCACCAUUUUGGGUAAAUUUGGUCAAGGGUGAUGCAAUAGAUGAGAAACCCUGCAUGAAGCGACGGUAAUAACCAGCCAAUCCGAGAAUGCUUCGAAUCUCUGUAGCUGAGGACGGCCUGGGCCAAUUCUGAACCGCCUCUAUAUUCUUUGGAUCUACUUGAAUACCCUCAUUGGAGACCACGUGCCCCAAGAAUGCCACUGAACUGUGCCAAAACUCACAUUUUGAGAACUUGGCAUAGAGCUUCUCCUCUCUCAACCGCUACAACACAACCCUCAAGUGCUAGGCGUGCUCUUCCUAGCUAUGAGAGUAUACCAGGAUAUCAUCAAUGAAUACAAUAACAAACGAGUCGAGAUAAGACCGAUACACACUGUUCAUCAAAUGCAUUAAUGCUGCUGGGGCAUUGGUCAGCCCAAAAGACAUCACAAGGAACUAAUAAUGACCAUAACGGAUCUUGAAAGCUGUCUUAAGAAUAUCCAAGUCCCGAAUAUUCAAUUGGUGAUACCCUGACCUCAAAUAAAUCUUAGAUAAUACCCUCGCUCCCUGAAGCUAGUCAAAUAGAUCAUCAAUACGUGGCAAAUGUACUUGUUCUUGAUUGUGACUUUGUUCAACUACCUGUAGUCAAUACACAUUCUCAUAGUGCCAUCCUUCUUCUUCACAAAUAGAACCAGUACACCCCAAUGUGACACACUAGGCCUAAUAAACCCUUUCUCAAGGAGUUCUUGAAGUUGAUCCUUCAACUCAGUCGGUGCCAUACGGUAUGGAGGAAUAGAAAUGGGCUAAGUGCCCAGCACCAAGUCAAUACCAAAAUUAAUAUCUCUGUCGGGCAGUAUACCAGACAGAUCUGCAGGAAACACAUCUGGAAAAUCUCGCACCACCGGAACAGAAUCAAUAGUAGGGGUCUCUACACUGACAUCCCUCACAAAGGCUAAAUAAGAAAGGCAACCCUUCCCAACCAUCCGCUGGGCCUUCAAGUAUGAAAUCACUUUACUAGGAACAUAGUCUAAAGAACCAUGCCACUCAAUCCGUGGCAAUCCCGGCAUCGCCAACGUCAUUGUCUUAGCAUGAAAAUUCAAAAUAGCAUGACAUAGAGACAACCAAUCCAUACCCAAUAUCACAUCAAAAUCAACCAUGUUAAGUAGCAAAAGAUCAACUCUAGUCUCCAAUCCCCAAAUACAUUACACACGACCGAUAUACACGGUCUACAAUAAUAGUAUCACCCAUCGGCGUAGAUACAUGGACAGAUAAAACUAAUGACUCAUGAGGGAUAUCCAGAUAAUGAGCAAAAUACGAUGAUACAUAUGAAUAUGUGGAACUAGGGUCAAAUAAUACAGAAGCAUCUCAAUGACAUACGGAGACAAUACCUGUGAUCACUGUGUCUGAAGCAAUAGUAUUUGGUCUAGCAGGGACUGCAUAGAAAUGGGCUUGAUCACCACCUGAUCAGCCUCCCCCUCUAGGGCGACCUUUAGCUGACUGGGCCCUACCCUGAGCUGGUUGGGCGGGUAGAGAAGUAACUGGUGUGGAAGAUGCAGCCUGACUCCUCUACUGCGCUGAACCUCCAUGACGACGAGGGCACUGCCACCAUACAUGCCUAAACUCCCCAUACUCAAAACAACUCCCUGGUGCUGGUGACGGGGACUAAAGGGAGCCCCGAGCACCGAGAUAACUAAUAGAAGGACCUGACAUAGAUGAGCCCUGAACCGAUGGAGAACGGGAUGAACUCUAAGCUGGAAGGGCACUAAGAGAUGAAUGACCUUGAUGAGAACUAUAUGAACCAUGGCCAGAUGAUGCACCACGGUGAACUGGGCGAGCCGUCUAAGCAUGCUUAUAGGGACGAUCCCUACCGUGGUGGAACUAAGCUCCAGAAGGAACACCACCAAAACUACAUGAUCCACGAGACCUCUUGGCCUCCCUAUCAACCCGCUCCUGGCUAUGGACCAACUCUAUCUACCGAGCAAUGUCAAUAACCUCAUCAAAAGUAGCACCAGACACCUUCUCUCUAGUCAUAAGCACCCGCAGCUGAAAUGUGAGGCCAUAAAUGAACCUCCUGAUCCUCUCCAUAUCAGUGGGAACUAACUAGACUGCAUGACGGGCCAACUCAGAAAAUCUCAUCUCGUACUGCAUCACAAACAUAUCAUCCUGAAACAACUGCUCAAACUGCAUGUGCAUCUUCUCUCUGCGAGACUGCGGCACGAACUUCUCCAAGAAGAGAAUGGUGAACUCCUACCAGGUAAGUGGUUCUGCACCGACCGGCCUACGCCUCUCAUAAGCCUCCCACCAACAAAAGGCAGCUCCAAAGAACUGAAAAGUAGUGAACGAGACAUGACUGGUCUUCAGAAUACUUGCUAUAUGGAGCAUUCUCUGACACUUAUCCAAGAAUCCCUGUGCAUCCUCUCCCUCUGUACCACUGAAAGAUGGAGGCUGGAGUCUCCCAAACCUCUCCAAUCUAAGCUGCUCAUCAUCAGGAAUAGCAGGAACCACAUAGUCCAAAGCAGCUGCUACCGGCUUGGCUGGUGGUGCCCUCGGUGUCUAGAGUCCCUGCAUCACCUGCUCUAGUGUGCGGGCGGCGGGAGUCUGAGUACCUCCCCCGACUUGAGAAGUGGCCGCUGCGGUCAAAAUAGAGACCGCUUGAGCAAGACUGGUGCACACACUCAGAAUCUGAGCUAUGGCCUUCUGAAGGCCUGGAAUCAAAAUAGGCACAAUUGGUGCCUGAGCUGGUCCCGCUGGCGCAUCCACAACUGGGACCCGAUCCUGAACUGGGCAACUGGUCGAUCUGUAAGUGUUGUCCUAGGUGCUGGGCGGGCUGCACCUCUGCGCCUACCGCAGCCUCUACCACAACCUCGGCCUCUCGCAUCCCUAGCUGGUGGUACUGGUGGUUGUCCGUCUUGCCAAGUAGUACGUGUCCGUACUAUCUAUAAGAGAAUAGAAUAACAAAAGUUUAAUUACCAAAAUCAACAGAUUCGCACGACAAGAAUUCAAGAAUGUGAAGUUUCCUAAGGGUUCGCCAACCUCCCGACGAUAAGUACAGACAUCUCCAUACCGAUCCGCAAGACUCUACUAAACCUGCUCAUGACUCGUGAGAGCUAUGUAACCUAGGCUCUGAUACCAACUUGUCACGACCCAUAUCCUAACCUGUCGUGAUGGAGCCUAUCGAUGGUACUAGGCAAGCUGACAUUUUCAAAACACUUCCAAUAUUGCACAGAAAGAUAAACAAAAAGUUCAUAAAUAAAGAAGUGUUUUCAGAAACAUGGUUUAAACUCAAAAUACAAGUGCGAAAAAAUAGCCCCAAAAUCAGGGUGUCACUAAGUCAUAAGCAUCUAAACAUAACCAGUCCUAAAAUAACAAGACUAUCAUAGUCUGGCAUCCAAAUACAAUGAAAGGAGAGAUAAAGAAGAAGAAAGCAAUGCUGCGAACGUCGGGCAACUACCUCGUUAUUUCCGAUAAUCAGCUACGAGAACUAUUAACACCCUCCGUGUCCAGAAACUCCUAGAUCUGCACAUGAAGUGCAAGAUGUUGCGUGAGUACAACCAACUCAGUAAGUAGCAAAAAUAAAUAAAGAGCUGAAAGAUAGUGAUGAGAUACACAGAUAUAUUGUAUUAGUAGUAGUCCCAGGAAGGAAAAAAUAGACAUGCUUCCCAUAUCCGAUAAGUAAAAUCAAAUCAGUUUGUUUUAAGUCAAGUUCAAGUAAAAACCGGAUAAAAUAUCUUUCUAAAGUUUUCAAAGCAAUAAUAUAGGGAAAAUGUUUGCACCAAUAAUGAAAUCAUAUACAACUUCUCAAGGCAGUCAUCACUCAGUUCUCCCAUUCACUCCAACCUCACAAUCACUCAUUCCUCAUGAUCACUCAACACUCAGCACUCAACACUCUCACUUAGUAGGUACCUGCACUAACUGGGGGUAUGUAUAGACUCCGGAAGGGCUCCUAUAGCCCAAGCGCUAUAUCAAGCCAAUCGUGGUAUAAAUUAAUGAAACAUGAUGCGGCGUGCAGCCCGAUCCCAUAAAUAUCCUCACAAUUAGGCCCUCGGCCUCACUCAAUCAUCAGUCUCUCCAGUCUCCCGGGCUCUCAAAAAUCAGGAAAAAUAGCCCAACCAGCAAUAACAUAAUGUAUCAAUAAGAAUAACAGAGACUGAGAUAUGAUAUGCGAGUAAAAACUGCGACUGAGUACACAUAGCAUUUAGCAGGCAAUUCAACAUGUGUCGCAACCUCUAUGGGUCCCAACAGUUCUAUGUACCGCAAACUCUAUGGGUCCCAACAGUACCAACACAUCGCCUAAACAUGGUUUCUAACAUGUUUAUAGUCAAACUUCUAUAACACAUAAAGAGCAUAUAGCUAGAAGCAAAUUAUUCAACUUUACAGUUCCAUGGGAUGGACCAAGUCACAAUCCCCUCGGUGCAUGCCCACAUGGCCGUCACCUAGCAUAUGCGUCACCUAAAAAAUAAUUAUACGACACAAAAUUCAGGGUUUCAUACCCUCAGGACCAGAGUUAUAAUUGUUACUUACCUGAAUCUGGGUAAAACUCUCCUCCAAAAAUUCCUUUGCCUCGUAAGUCGGCCUCCAAACGCCCCGAAUCUAGCCACAAGAAGUACAAUACAAUCAAUAUAGGCUAAAGGAAUAAAUUCCACAAGAAAAAUGCAAAAUUAUAGCUCAAAACCCAAAAUUGGCUCAAACCGGCCCCGAACCCACGUCUCGAAAUCCGACAAAAGUCACAAAACCCGAAAGCCCAUUCACUCACGAGUCUAAUCAUACCAAAUUUAUCAAAAUCCGACACAAAAUGGCCAUUCAAAUCCCCAAAACUCACUCUCCAAAAUUCCUAGUCCUAAACCCCCAAAUUUUACCUAAAAAACUCACCAACUAGGUGUAAAAUCAAUGGGGAAACAUCGUUAUUGAAGAAGAACGAACACAAAGAGCUUACCUCAGUAAUCUCUUCAAAAACCCUCUCAAAAAUCUCAAAAGUCCGAUAUCAAAGUGAUGAAAGUGGUGAAAAAUCUUAAAGUCUUGUAUUUAUAUGUUCUGCCCAGGCCUUUUGCACCUGCGGCCAUUUAUCCGCACCUGCGGAACCGCUUUUGCGGUAAAAUUCCCACUUCUGCGGAAGUCACUUAUCCAGCUUCCUCCGCUUCUGCAAGCAUUGGACCGCAUCUGCGAAUAUCGCAGGGGCGGGUAAUCUAUCGCACCUGCGUAUCCAACCCGCAUCUGCACCCCUCAGCCCACUUCUGCGACCAUCGCAGAUGCGGGAUAGUCUUCGCACUUGAUACCACUGCUCAAAUCUUCCCUAUUUUCUUUUGUGAUUCAUGCCCCCCUUCUACUGGCUCGCACAUGCAGUGCCCACUCCGCAGGUGCGGUUACACCACUAGCAGCAUCACUUCAGCUGCUUCACUAACUCAAAACAAAGUUCGUUAACCACCCGAAAUCAACCCGAGGCCCCCGUGACCUCAAAUAAACAUACCAACAAGUCCUAAAUCACGAUACGGACUUAGUAAAACCCUCAAAUCACCUCAGACAACAUCAAUAACACGAAUUACACGCGAAUUCAAGCCUAAUAAACUUUAAAAUUUCCAAAUUCUACAAACCACGCUGAAACCUAUCAAAUCAUGUUCGAUUGACCUCAAAUUUUGCACACAAGUCAUAAAUGACACCACGAACUUACUCCAACUUUUGAAAAUCCAAUCCGACCCCGGUGCCAAAAAGUCUGCUCCAGGUCAAACUUUCCAAAACUCUAACUUUCGCCAAUUCAAGCCUAAUUCUACUACGGACCUCCAAAUCAAAAUUCGGACAAGCUCCUAAGUCCAAAAUCACCAAACAGAGCUAACAGAGCAAUCAAAAUUCAAAUCCGAGGUCGUUUACACAUAAUUCGACAUUCGGUCGACUUUUCCAACUUAAGCUUUCAAUUAAGAGACUAAGUGUCUCAAUUUACUCCGACAUCACUCCGGACCUGAACCAACCAACCUGAUAAGUCGUAUAACAGCUGAAGAAUACAAAAGAAACAGAAAAUGGGGGAACAUGGCUACAACUCUCAAAAUGCCCAUCCGGGUCUUUAUAUCCUCCCCAUCUUAAAUAAAUGUUUGUCCUCGAACGGGUCUAGAAACAUAGUUGGAGUCUCAAAUAGGUGUGGAUAUCUGAUCCACAUCUCCGCUAGGUCUCCCAAGUAACCUCCUCCACGGGUUGACCACUCCACUACACCUUCAUUGAAGCUAUAUCCUUUGACCUCAACUUUUGAACCUGCUAAUCAAAAAUGGCCACCGGCUCCAAAUCAUAAGUAAAUCACCAUCCAACUGAACCGUGCUGAAAUCCAAGACAUGAGAUGGAUUGCCGAUAUACUUCCGAAGCAUAGAAACAUGAAAUACUAGAUUCACACUCGACAAGCUAGGUGGCAAGGAAAGCUCGUAGGCCAUCUCCCCAAUCUUCUGAAGCACCUUAAACAUCCUAAUAAACCGAGGGCUCAACUUGCCCUCCUUCCCAAAUCUCAUAACACCCUUUAUGGGUGAAACCUUCAGCAGAACCUUCUCCACAACCAUAUAGGGCAACUGUGUGCACCAAUAAUGAAAUUGUAUACAGCCUCUCAAGGCAGUCAUCACUCAGUUCUCCCAUUCACUCAAACCUCACAAUCACUCAUUCCUCACAGUCACUAAUUCCUCACGAUUACUCAUCACUCGCUCUUAGUAGGUAUCUGCGCUCACUGGGGUGGUGUACAGACUCCGGAGGGGCUCCUACAGCCCAAGCACUAUAUCAAGCCAAUCAUGACAUAAAUCAAUGAAGCAUGUUGUGGCGUGCAGCCAGAUCCCAUAAAUAUCCUCACAAUCAGGCCCUUGGCCUCACUCAGUCAUCAAUCUCUUCAGUAUCUUGGGCUCUUAGAAAUUAGGAAAAAUCAGCCCAACUAGGAAAAACAUAAUGUAUCAAUAAGAAUAAUAGAGACUGAGAUAUGAUAUGCGAGUAAAAAUUGCGACUAACUACAAAUAGCAUUUAACAGGCAAACUCAACAAGUAACGUGACCUCUAUGAGUUCCAAUAGUACCAACACAUAGCCUAAACAUGGCUUCUAACAUGAUUUACAGUCAAGCUUCUAUAACACAAAGAGAGCAUAUAGCUAACAUCAAAUUAUUCAACUUAACAGUUCCACGGGAAGGACCAAGUCACAAUCACCUUGGUGCACGCCCACACACCCGUCACCUAGCAUGUGCAUCCCCUCCAAAAUAAUCACAUGGCACAAAAUCUGGGGUUUCAUACCCUCACGACCAGAUUUAUAAUUGUUACUUACCUCAGUACGAGCAAAACUCUCCUCCAAAAAUGCCUUUGCCUCGCGAGUCGGCUUCCAAAUACCCCGAAUCUAGCCACAAGCAGUAUAAUACAAUCAAUAUAGGCUAAAGGAAUCAAUUCCACAAGAAAAAUGCAAAAUUAUAGCUCAAAACCCAAAAUUGGCUCAAACAAGCCUCUGGGCCCACGUCUCGAAAUCCGAGAAAAGUCACAAAACCUGAAAGCUCAUUCACUCAUGAGUCUAACCAUACCAUAUUUAUCAAAAUCUGAUGCCAAAUGGCCAUUCAAAUACCCAAAACUCACUCUCCAAAUCCCUAGCCCUAAACCCCCAAAUUUUACCUCAAAAACUCACCAACUAGGUGUAAAAUCAGUAGGGAAACAUCGUUAUUGAAGAAGAAUGAACACAAGGAGCUUACCUCAGUAAUCCCUUCGAAAACUAUCUAAAAAAUCUCCAAAGUCCGAGCUCAAAGUGAUGAAAGUGGUGAAAAAUCUCGAAGUCUCGAAUUUAUAUGUUCUGCCCAGGACUUUCGCACCUGCGGCCAUUUAUCCUCACAUGCGGAACCGCUUCUGCGGUACAAUUCCCGCUUCUGUGGAACUCUCUUAUCCAGCUGCCUCCGCUUUUGCGAGAAUUGGACCGCAUCUGUGAAUAUCAUAGGUGCGGGUAAUCCAUCGCUCCUGCGGAUCCAACCCGCAGCUGUGCCCCUCAACCCGCUUCUACGACUAUCGUAGGUGCGGGAUAGUCUUUGUACCUGCGACCACUGCUCAAGUCUUCCCUGGCCCCUUCUGCGAUUCACGCCCCGCUUCUACGGGCUCGCACCUGUGGUGCCUAUUCCGCAGAUGCGGUUACACCAGUAGCAGCAUCACUUCAGCUGCUUCACUAAUUCGAAACCAAGUCCGUUAACCACCCGAUAUAAACUGAGGCCCCCGGGACCUCAAACAAACAUACCAACAAGUCCUAAAUCACGAUACAAACUUAGUCGAACCCUCAAAUCACCUAAAACAACAACAAAAACACGAAUUACACACAGAUUCAAGCCUAAUGAACUUUGAAAUUUCAAAAUUCUACAAACCACGCCGAAACCUAGCAAAUCACGUCUGGUUGACCUCAAAUUUUGUACACAAGUCAUAAAUAACACCACAAACCUACUCCAACUUCUGGAAUUCCAAUCCAACCCUAGUGCCAAAAAGUUCACUCCCGGUCAAACUUUCCAAAAUUCCAACUUUCGCCAAUUCAACCCUAAUUCUACUACGGACCUCCAAAUCAUAAUCCGGACACACUCCUAGAUCUAAAAUCACCUAACGAAGCUUACAGAACCAUCAAAAUUCAAAUGUGAGGUGGUUUACACAUAAGUCAACAUCCGAUCGACUAUUCCAACUUAAGCUUUCAAUUAAGAGACUAAGUGUCUCAAUUCAAUCCGACAUCACUCCGGACCCAAACCAACCAACCCGGAAAGUCAUAUUAUAGCUGAAGAACAUAAAAGAAGCAAAAAAAAGGGGGAACGGGGCUACAACUCUCAAAACGACUGACCGGGUUGUUACAACUGACUCUAGUCUCACUUCUUCAACAUCGACAUCCUCAAAUUCUUGUUGGUUAGAUUUUUGAUGUUCUACUCUGACCUCCUCUAAUAGCACCUCAAAUUCACGCUCUUCUUGGCUACUAUCCCCAAUAUUGUCUUGUUGAGCAUUAAAAUCUUCGACCACUUGACUCACUUGAGCCUCCAAGUUGCGAAUAGUUGCCUCUUACCUUUCUAUCUCUAGUUUUUUCUCAUUAUUUUAUUCCAUAAGGUACUUUAACAUAUCCUUGAUCUCCUUUAGGUCUACAUCCCCAGGCUCUUUGUUCCUAUUAACAUCAUAAGAAAAAGUAGAACCAUCAAAGUAAGGGGUUGGGGGAGGAUAAGAAAUAUAAGCACAACCAUGAAAGUGACCAUUUUGACCACCACACACAUCACACACAUUCCACAAAUUAGAUUGAGUUGGUGAACAUAACUCGCUCUCGAUAAUAUUUUGAUAAUUUUGCCACGAGUGGUUUCCUUCACAAUAUAUAUGAGGAUCAAUAGUAGAAUUAUCUACACCUAAACUCCAUAAUUCCAAGAUGUCAUGUUUCUCAAAUCAACAGUUAGAAUAAAAUAAAUUAAGAGAAUAAAGCAAAACAAAACAAAAUAAAAGUUUAAACUUGAAACCUAGCAAUAUAUACAACUACAACUACACCAUUAGUUCUCCGGCAAUGGCGCCAAAAGUUGAUCAAGCCCAACUCUAGUCCUAAAAAGGAUAAACGGUCACUGCAAAUAUAAUCCGGUCUAAAAGUUUGGAGUCGAAUCUCACAUAGAACUAAGAUUUAGCUACAACUGUUGAUUAUCACAAAGAAGACAAGCUCGAAUAAUUCCAAAGUUAUAAAUAUAAAGAUUCUUAUAUCUAACUAAUUAACUGAUAAAUUAAAGUAGUAAAUUAACAACUAGGGAUACUAAGGAUUAGAGAAAAGAUUAAGGAAGUCUAGAGUUAUGAUUUUCCCAAUUGUCAGAAUUAUUCCCGCUACUUCUUAUAUAAUUUUGCCUAAGUAUUCUCUACUGAUCAUGAGCACUCGACUUAUCAUAAUUCUCUCUCGAGCAACUACAAUAAUGUACUAGUCAUAUUCUCUUGAAUUAUGCUAGCUCACAAUUUUUCACCGCUCACUAUGAUCAUGUCAAAGCUUCGUUAUCUCUAAUUCUGCUUUUAAACCUGCCGUAUUGAUCUCUCAUAUAUGUUAGGAGUGGCGUUGUUCAACAACCACCUAAAUAUGUAUUGUUUUUCAAGCAAUGCGUAAUAAAUAGGCAUCGUUAAUUGAGAGCUCUUCAAUUAACUAAAAUAAGCACAUAGUUGAACAAAUAGAAAAAUUCAAAGACUCAAUUAUAUCAAAACGUAUCAAGAAUUCAUCCUACAAAAGGUUUCAUCAAAACCCAAGAUAACAAAUUAGAUAUUCAUAAUAGUAUGCAAAACUACAAUACUAGAAUUCAUAAUCAAUAACGAAAAUAGGAAGAAGAAAGUGAAUAACUCGUAGAAGAAUUCUCCACCUUGCUUCUUGUGUUUUCCUGCUCCUUAGGUCGAUUCCCUCUCUAAUGAUGUAUUCUGAUGUCUAACCAUUCAAAAACUAACUUUAAGGGGUAUUUAUAGGGUAGGGGCCGAAUUCUACAUGUCCAAGACUAAUAAGGAAUUAAAAUUUGCUCGGAUGGCAUCGUCGGCACCUUGCACUUUCCGUGGCACUGUCGUUUCGGUGCAACGCACUAUCUAGGGCGCCAAUGAUAGUGCCCUGGACAAUGUCUUGGACUGUUUAUGGCACUUUUGUUACUGUGCAAGGCACUGUCUGGGGCACCAAUGACAGUGCCAUGGACAAUGCCUUGCACUGUCUAUGGCACUAACAUUUUGUUGCCUUGCACGUCUUCUUUUAUCGCUCCAUUUUGUAGCUGUGAGGUACCAUUUCAUGAAAGAAUUUCUCCAUUUCAUGUCCAAGCAUUCCUACACAUGAAAUACGCUCUAUUUAAAGGCAAUUGUCGCACAAAUUAACAUCCAAACAACAAGCAAAUACUGUCAAAAUAUAUGGAAUUAUCUCACGACAUCAACACCCCACACUUAAAUGUUGCUCUCCCUCGAAUCAACCAACCAAACACUUCAUCAUCAAGGACCCAACAAGCUACACAUUUACAACACACUAUGCUUAUGACCAUGGUUAAUAGCAACAAUUAAGCUCUAGCAUGUGCUGUUAAAAUACUCUUCCCAUACUUAUGCCCAAUUUUAAAACAUCCAAUACAGGAUCAAUAUGAUUACAACAAUCCUAGCCUCAAAAACUUACUCAAUGUCACAAUGCACUCGAGGCUUGAAUACUUAAUCUAACAUAGAGGUCUAAUAACGUUACCUAUCCUUUGUGAAACCAUGUGCCCUCACAAUAAAACAAAGAGUAAGCAGUCCACACAUCCAAAUCACAUGAUCGAAUAUAAUUUAAGGACUCACACAUAUGAAGAAAAGGCACACACUCUCUCAAAGAAGUCACAUGCACGCAAAACAUACCAGAGGCUUGCCCAUUAUGUAAACCUCUACUAAUGUAGGCUCACUCGGUCCGAAAUCAACUAGGACUUUAUUAUGGUUGUAAUGUGGGCUAAAGGAUGGGUAGGAUAUAUUUAGAGUAUAGUGGCGAACCCUUCAAAGCAUUUUAACACAUCAUGUAUUCAACUUUGAGGCUGGGGAUUUGGGUGUCGAUUUGGUGUUAGAUUUUGAUAAAUUUGGUAUGGUUGGAAUCGUGGUGGAAUGGGCUUCCAGGUUUUGUGACUUUUGUUGGAUUCCGAGAUGUGGGCUCGGGGGCCGACUUUUGAGUUGGCUUUUUACUUUUAAAUUAAGAACUUAGUAAUUUCAUAUGGAAUUGGUUCCUUUAGAUCGUGUUGAUUGUAUCGAACUGUUUGUGGCUAGAUUUGAGGCAUUUGAAGACCGUUUCGCGAGGCAAGGACUUGUUGGAGUAGAGUUUCGUACAAAUUGAGGUAAGUAACACUUUUAAACUUGGUUCUAAGGGUAUAGAGCCCCGAAUUUUGUGUUAUGCGAUUGGUGUGAGGUGACACAUGUGCUAGGUGACAGGCAUAUAGGCGUGCACUGUAGGAAAUGUGACUUGGUCGACUCCAUGGAACUGAAUAAUUGAUUUAGCUUGCUAUUACCCAUAUUCUCUUCAUUUGAUAGAAUAAUUGAGUUGUCGGUCAUGCUAGAAAUCUUGUUUAAGUUACAUGUUGAACUAUUUUGCUUAACCUGUCAUUUUAUACUCAGUCAUAGUGAUUGUUUGCAUAAUAUGUCUCAGUCUCUGUUGUGCUUAUUUGCUACGUAAUAUCAUUAUUGUUUGGGCUGAAUAGCAUAAUUUAGGUGAGCUUAAGAGAUUGGAGAGAUUAGUGAUUGAGUGAGACUGAAGGUCUAUUGUGAGUUAUAUUAAUGGGAUCAAGCUGCACGCCACAACAGACUUUAAUGAUUGAUGCUAGGAUUUGGAAUAUUAUAGUGCUUGGGCUGGAUCGGCCCCUCCAGAGUCUGCACAUCCACAGUGGGCGCAAUGCUAGCAAUUAUUUACAUUUAGGCUAGAUCUGCCCUAGUUUAUUGCAUUCGGCAUGGACCUGCCCUGGGCUGGAUCUGCCCUGUUAUGUGUUAAUUUUUGUUGUAAAAUCUAAAAGCAUGUCUAAAUUCUUGUACCUUCACUUGUAGACUAUGAAUUUUUGAGAUAUCACUGUCAUAUUUUUUGUAACUUUUCGUACUCUUAAAUGUUUAAAGCGGACCAAAAUAAUUAGACUCGUCACUACUUUCAGUCCAAAAGUUAGAUGUUUUACUUAUUGAGUUGGUUGUACUCACGGCACACUCUGCACAUCAUGUGUAGAUCCAAGUGCUUCCGGUCACGGCGGUUGUUUAUUUGCAGAGUCCAGACCUUCGGAGGCCAUCGAGAUAGUUGCUUGGAAUCCGCACACGUUGACUCUCCUCCCUUAUCUUUCAGUUUGUUAUUCAGUCUUACUUUCUAGAUAGUGUACCAGACUAUGUCUUUAUGUAGCUGCUCAUGUACUCAGUGAUACCCCGAUUUUGGGAAGAAUUUAUGUAUUGAGUUAUGAUUUCCUAUCAUGUUUUAAGAGAUUUUUCCUUUAUUUAAACUGUGUUAGUAUCUUUCAAAGAUUUAAAUUGUUUUAAAUGUCUGAGUAGUCAGCUUGCCUAGUACUGUGAUAGGCGUCGUUACGAUGGGUUGGUUUUGGGUCGUGACAGAAGCAAAGCAGUGACAAUAAGUAGUAACAACAACAAGAUAUCAAGAAAAUGGACAAGAAAGACAACAAUCAAAUGGUAAGUAGUAAUAAUAAUCGAAGAAUCAAAGUAUCAUACUAACAUUAAUACUACUGGUAUGUGAUGAGCUUAAAAUUAUUCGACAUUUAUGCCCUCUUUGUGUCCUUGAUUUGGUUGAUUUGAUAGAGAUUUAGUCUGAUUAUGGUCUAAUGUGUUGCAUUUCAGUGCAGGUGGUGCAGAGGGGAUCAAUGGACAAAUAGUGCACAAAGUGGGAGGAAAAUAAGCUGAUAAAGGAGGAAAUUCUCAUGCACGGCCGCACUCGAGCAGUCCCAAAUGCGCAUUUGAGCGCGCAAAUCUCACAGAAAAACUGGUAGAUGUGCACGGUCAUAUGUGCGCCAAGACACCCAGAUGCGCGACCGCGCAUGUCUGUCUCCGCGAAUUUUUGUCAAGCCUAUUUUUAUAAAUUGGGAGGCAUCCUUUUGACCUAUAUGACGCCUAAGCUCAUCACAAAACAGGGCAUCUUAGAUUUUUGGAGUGACCUUUGGAGGAAAAAAGCAAGGAACAACAUGGACUUUUGAAUACUUUAUCUGAAUCAUUCAAUACGAAAGUUUAUUUGAAUUCAUGGGUUGUAAUAUUUUCUUGUCAUCUUAUUACUCUUCUGAUGAACAAUUUUUCUAUUAUGGAGUAGUCCUUCUUAGGUUUAUUGAUAGAUAUUGUGAAUUGAUUAUUAUUCAAGGGUUUGAUUGCUGUUAGUUGCUUGAAUUUGUUGAACAAGUUUUGAAUUAGUUUACAAAGUUACUGGGGAUUUCACUUUAAUCAGAAGAAAAGUGCACUUCAAUAGUCAUUGUGUUAUCUUGUUUGGGUUAAUUUCACGACUCUCAUAGGUAAUCGAAAGAUCUUGUAGAUUUAUCAAUUUAUCCAAUUUAGAGGAAUAGUGGAGAGACGUUCCUUGUAAGAACAUUCAUUGAACGUAUUCGUGCAUACGUUCAUAGAACUUGUCAUUAGGUUGUUUAACAGAACUCUCAUUCAUUCGGAAGAAGAAUUUGAAUCCUUAAUAUAGCCUAAUCAUCUGUUGAAAUCAAAAGAGUCAAUAGAAUUUGAGAGUGAACUUAGCACAAAGUUAUCCUGAAUAAUAGUUGAUCACAUAUCUUGUCAAGCCCUUAUUUCUCACAUUGAUAUUCGAUCGUUGCUACUUAGUCACCCAAUUUCCAUUAUUCAUUCACAAUUGAUAACUUAGUUUUUACUCUUAGUUCGUUAAUAACUCAAAAUCAAAGAUUUAUUUUCCUGAAUAGUGUUAAGCUUGUCACACCUCCUUUUUCUACCACCGAAGGGGUAUAUAAGGGAGUUUGUCCAAUUUACGUGACAAUCGAAACGAGAUUAUUUAUUUAGAAAUCAGAGUCGCCACUUGGGAUAAUUUAUGGUGUCCCAAGUCACUGGUUUAAAUCUCGAAUCGAGGAAAAAAUUGACUCUGUUUUACAAUCCACGAACACAGAAAUCCGGGUAAGGAAUUCUGUUAACCCAGGAGAAGGUGUUAGGCAUUCUCGAGUUCCAUGGUUCUAGCAUGGUCGCUCAACUGUUAUUAUUGGCCUAAUUAUCUGAUUUUAAAAUACUUUUAAGCCUAUGUGUAUUUUUUAACUUUCUAACCGCUUUUAGUAUUUCAGGAAAAUUCAAGGUUAUUUAAAAAACAUCAAAGGCCACGUUACAUGAAAUGCACCCGCGGUUCACGACACAUUCUAUUUAACCUUGUUGGAAAUUAGAAUCGGGUCACAUGAAAUAUACACCCGGAUUUUGUAAUUAAAAAUCACAACUACGUCACGAAAUCGUACCCGUAGAAAUGGAAAUUAUUUAAUUAACGCGCCUAAAGCAAACUACGAAAGUUCAAGGCAUUUUUUUAUACUAGUUUUUGUAUUUAUGUGAUGGCCAUACAUUAUGGAUUUUGUUUGCGUAUGCACACCUCAAUUAUUUUUUUUUAAAAAAAAGAAUUAUUUCAUUAAGGUAAACUAAAGAUACUGCUACUUUAAUCUAAUUUAAAAUUAAAUAUCACGACCACGUCACGGGAACCGUACCCGUAGUCACGAUGAUGAUUUAUUUUCGUGCCUAAAGGUUCGCCUACCCGGAUGUGGUGGCCUAAGUAUGAUCUUAUGACCAAUUAAGAGAAUAAAAGUAAUAAAUUCCAACUUUCUUUCAUUUAAUGACAAAGCUCGUGGCCACAUAUUAUUAAAAGUUUUUCUAAACCAAUACAACCAUUCAAUUGAAGCGAAGCAUCCAAUCCUAGUAGACCAAAUGAAACGAAAUGAUUAUAAGAAAUCAAACCCCAGUUGACCCAGUGUAUUAAUUCAAAUGAUUAUCAUCCAAGCAAAUGUAUGGUUUCUGGAAAUUUCAAUAUAGAGAUAGGAACAAAACUUAUUAAAAUUCAAUCCACUUUAAUCAUAGAAAUCCGCAUCGUCAUAAUCAAACCAACAAGGGAAAGCUAACUACUGCAGAUUAAUAAACAUAAUGAUGAAGUAUGCAAUGAUUUCACAUUCUAACUUGAAUAAAGACGAGCAACAAAUCACCGUACUUAAGGUUUUCACAUAUCCUUUUCAUACUAAAGUCAUAUCAAUAAUAGAAUAAUAGGGAAAUCGAUAAUGAACCUGGACUGAAAUUCUUCUUAGUAACAGUAGAGGAAUGAGCAUAUACAAUGUUUUGCUCCCAAAUUUAAACUGAGAACAAAGCAAUUGAGCAAAAACGCGAGCCAAACCACGAACCUCAGACGAAAACUCCAAUCGGCAUCAGAAUGAACUCAAUUAAACCCCGUCGAUCCCAUGGAAAAAAAGGGAGUGGCGAUGAGAGGGGACCAUUAUGGUGGUGGAAGAGCUCGACGAUAGUGAGGCGCGGCUGGGUUCUCUGAGGGGGUUGGUUUCCGGCGAAGCAACGGUUGCUGGUGUGGGCUCCGCUGGAGAUGAGGAAAGGGGGGUCGUUUGGAGAAGACGAAGUCAGGGGGUGGGGUCAUUUAUGGUUGCGGCGAAUCUGUUUUGUCUCUUAGGUCUUGGUGUAUUUUUUUUUUUGCUAUUUCAGCUUCUUCUUCUUCUUCUUUUUUCAGGCGUUAGGUGUUAGCCUAUAUAUGUAGGUCCUAGAGUCUAGGUUUAUAUUUUGUGUAUUUGCUCUUAGGUCUUUAGGGUCUUUUUAUUUAUUUAUUUAUUCCAAAGAAGAGUCUAGAAGGGUCCCUAGGAUUAGCUUAAUGGGUAUUGGGCUUAAGGAAUAGGCUAGACACUUGGGCCUUUAUGACUAGCUAUGCUUAGAAUUAGCUUAAUUAACUAAAAAUCUAUCCAUAUAGAAAUUUUAUCAAAAAUAUUAAUUAGCCCUACUUAAGUAAAAAUAAUUAUUAAAAUAAGACUGACUGUUAAAACAAAAUUAUUUAUUGGUAUUUUUCAAGAUUAAAAAUGACUAUAAAACAUUAAUGAACCUAUUUUUGUAAUUUUCGUUUUCUUGUAAUAAAAUAAAAGUAAAAGAGUAAAAUGAGUUGAAAUAACUAUAUUAGGCCUAAAUUAAAUAUUUACAUGCUAAAAUAUUUAAAAUCUUGAGGAGGGUCAAAAAUCACAUGUCUACAGCUGCCCCUCUUUGACUGGAAACACGAAGUAUUUUCAGACAAAGAACGACCAGACAGGUUUUUGGACCCGACCCUUAUUUGGAGAGACUAAAACUAAGAGAAAGGGGAAUUUGACCGAGCCCUUGUAUCUAAGCUGCCUACAUAUCCUUGGCUAUAAAAGAAUCAGGCCACAUGUAGUUCAGAAGUGAGUGAGAUGAUGGAGUAUGCCGAGGUGGAGAGCCAGUCGAGGUGCCGUUCCGCCGAGGUUCCGGUCCGCGGUCCUGAUGNNNNNNNNNNNNNNNNNNNNNNNNNNNNNNNNNNNNNNNNNNNNNNNNNNNNNNNNNNNNNNNNNNNNNNNNNNNNNNNNNNNNNNNNNNNNNNNNNNNNNNNNNNNNNNNNNNNNNNNNNNNNNNNNNNNNNNNNNNNNNNNNNNNNNNNNNNNNNNNNNNNNNNNNNNNNNNNNNNNNNNNNNNNNNNNNNNNNNNNNNNNNNNNNNNNNNNNNNNNNNNNNNNNNNNNNNNNNNNNNNNNNNNNNNNNNNNNNNNNNNNNNNNNNNNNNNNNNNNNNNNNNNNNNNNNNNNNNNNNNNNNNNNNNNNNNNNNNNNNNNNNNNNNNNNNNNNNNNNNNNNNNNNNNNNNNNNNNNNNNNNNNNNNNNNNNNNNNNNNNNNNNNNNNNNNNNNNNNNNNNNNNNNNNNNNNNNNNNNNNNNNNNNNNNNNNNNNNNNNNNNNNNNNNNNNNNNNNNNNNNNNNNNNNNNNNNNNNNNNNNNNNNNNNNNNNNNNNNNNNNNNNNNNNNNNNNNNNNNNNNNNNNNNNNNAGGGGGCUCCUGAUUGCCGAACUCCUUUGAACCUUGCUGCUUCCCUUCGUUCUCCAGGUGGGCUCCUGGUUGCUGUCUUCCUUUGAACAUUGUUGCUUCCCUUCGUUCUUCAGGUGGGCUCCUGAUUACCAACACUUGCGCUGUUUUUCCUUGAAACUUGAAUUGCCUCCCUUGAAACUUGAACUGCUUCUCUUUGUUCUCUAGGUAGGCUCCUGAUUUCCAACACUUGAACUGACCCCUCUGAAACUGCUACUUGUGAACCUGAUUACAAUAAAACAAACAAACAAAAGAAAUUUUUCUGCCCCAGUUUGAUAUCGGGAACAUCUGUGAGUGUUAAUCUAAUCAUAAUACCCAAAAGCUCUAAGAAUUUAAAAGCUAAAUCCCAUUAUCCAGGAGGGUCCUGAAAAUUAAAAAUUAAAUCUCAUCUCAAGAGUGACAACUUCAAAGCUAAAUUCUAUUUCCUAAAGGUAAAAUUUACGCUAAAUCUUAUUGUCUAUGAAGGUCUUAAAAACUUAAAACUAAAUCCCAUUAUCCGGGUCCUGAGAACUUUAAAUUAAAUCAUAUUAUCCAUGAGGGUCCUGAAAAUUUUAAAUUAAGUCCCAUUAUCCAGGAGGGUCCUGAAAAGCUGAGAAUGAACUUACCUAAGCCGCGCUCUUUUCCUGGAGGAUCUAUGUAGACCGAACAAAAUUCCUUUCCCCUAAACCACUCUUUUCCUCAUGGAGGGUUCAUGUAGAUCGAAUAAAUUUUUCUUUCCCCUUCUCAAACCGCCUUUGUGCUGACAAACUUUGGGCACGACACUUGAAAAAGUUCAAACUUCCAAGCUUUGAUUUGGACACAAUUUUCGUCCCUGUUUCAAACAAAGAGAACUUAUGAGUUUAUAAAUAUGGUGGUUGGUUUGUGGCCUUGAAUUUGAGGGUGAUUUCUCCUUCACUUCCCAUGAUAACUUUGAUUUCCACUCGAAAGAUCUUGCUUUUUUAUUGACUUACUACUUUCUCUGUCACCCUUAUCACGGAAAAUACCUCUAAUCUGUUCAAACCCAAUACCAUUCAUCUGUUGCAUUGUGCUCUUGCAUUGACAUGUACUGAACCUUUGUGUUUCACAUGAAUCCCAAAGCACAUCAAUUGCCAUCCACUCAGUGCACAUGUUGUUCUUUCCUGACUUAAAACACUGGCCUUGGCCUUGAGGUCUAUUGCUCCUUCAUUUGCCAUGAUAACUGAUUUCCGCUUGGAAGACCUUCCUUGUCCCUGGUUAACCACUUCUUUUGUCAAUCUUAUCAUAGAAAAUACCUUUUAUCCGUUCACCCUUCAUCCUCGAUCUAUUGCACUGAUCAUGAAUUGACAUAUACCAAACCUUUGUAUUUCACAUGAAUCCCAAAGCACAUUGAUUGUUGCCAACUCAAUGCGCAUGUUGUUCUUUCCUGACUUAUGCCACUUUGAUGUGUUAGCCAGAUCCUAUUUUGUGCAAUUGGAAAGCGGGUGGCAAAUUGUGAAGUCAUUUCUCACUUGUUCUGACCAAACAAACUUAGGAAGAGGAAGUAAACAAAACAAAAGGAACAGAGUAAAGGACAAUGGAAAGAGAUGAUUCCUAACAAACAAAACUACAAAGCAAAAACUUAUCAGAUGUGGACACCAACUCUAAUAACCAUGACAUGCACAUGUGGCCUAAUCUGUCAAGCAAGUCUGAUGUUCAACACUUGUUAUACCCCUAAACCGUGAAACUGGGCUUCAAUGCUCCGAUUAUCCAAUCUGAUUCACAAUCCUUAUUCGACUUGUAGUGCCCGAAGGGUUUUCACUAUCAAGCCUCUCUCAUUUUGUUCUUUUUCUCAACUCAUCAUCGCCUUAUAGUGCCUGGGAAGGUUUUCACCGAUAAGACUCUCAUUUUUUUUCUUCUUUCUUCUGAUUUUGUUGAUGACAAGGCGUUGACCAUAGUAAAAACAUCAUGUGCUCCUGGCAUGUCUAAACUCAGCACUCUCAAAGAUUAUUUGGGAGGUCUUUUUUGGACUAUGAUGUGGCUUUUGGAUAGGGUUAGAAAGAAAGGAUAUCAUAAAGGCUCAAAAUUACUAAAACAACAGGGUUAAUUUAUUUACAACUUUUGGAAUCCAUUCUAAAAACUUUGCCCAAUUUCUAAAACAAUGGAAUUUGAUUCUUUUUUAUUUUGUUUUUCUUUUUUGAUGGAGUUAUUAAUAAAGACCGCCCCACAUUCGACUUCGUCGGAUUAUGAAAUAUUUUAUUUGGUAUGACCGAACCGUUAGGCUGCCUACGUAUCUUGUGGUGACAAGAAUCAGGUCAAACGUAAUUCACAAAACUACUUUUUGUAACUAUUUGCCUUUCUUUUUUCUUUCUCUCUUUUUUUUUCUUUCUUUCUCUUUUUUUCUUUUUCCUUUUUUCUCCUUUAUCUCUAUUUUUCCCUUCUUUUUUGAAUUUUCCUUUCGGAAUGAACUUUCUAAAAUAAACCUAUGGGGACAUGAACUCUUUUUUUUCGUAUGACUCUAACUUGAUUCCAAAAGAGGGGAGGUCAAAGAAAUCAGUACAGGCUCAAAAGAGUAUCGAAUGGUAUAAGUGUUUGGGUAGCUGAAAGAGGGCCUCCUAAUCGCUGAAAAUGCCAAGUACAACACAUGCAACUUGAAACGGAAAUUGAAAAUCAUGCACAAUAUUUCUUUUGCAGCUUCGACAUUGAUAUCACUGAUAUUCCUUCGACUUUUAGUUAGCGCCUUUUCAAGUACAGAAUCCUCGUUGGGUGAUUCCCUCUUCACAAUGGAUAUCUUCCAUCAAUUUGGAGAGAAAUUCCUUGACUUUAUCUUGUAACUUGAGAUGCACUUGAACUCAAAGUUGCUUGCUUCAAAUCGUCCGGUAUGCACUCUCCCUUAACGAAUUCUUGUUACCCUAUUAACUUUCCAAAUUAACUGCCCCAGUUUCACACAGUUCGGGCUUCAAAUGAACUCAAAAUAUCCAAAUCUGUACUUAUUUCCCUCAAGUGUUCCCAUCAUCUUCAAAAUUAUUUUAUUGCUUCAUGAUUAAACUAACUUUUAAGACCAGGCCUAGAAUUAUGCGUGCAUGUCAUGUCACUAGAGCCAGCAUGAAAAGAACUAUAAAAGGAAAAAAACUAAACAAAAAUGAUUAACAUAAAACAGAAAAUUGCAUUAGAUAGACGGUGAAAGGGUUUGAACAACAAGAUAAGUAAAAUAAACUGGGGUACGACCCUGGAACAAACCUAGAUAACACGAAAUGAGUUACUACGACUAAAUGAACUCGGCAAAAUAAAAGGAUAGAAGGGUUUGAUAGUCACAAGACAAUAUCCGAAUUACAACCCUGAAAUAAACCGGACAACAGAAAUGACAAUAAAAUAAACCACCAAUACUCCUCCCUGGCUAACCAAGAAAGGAGCAUCUUUUCAAUCACCAAGCUCAACAUCUUAGCCAUUGAAUUUUGCAUCAACAAUACUAGGACCUUCACAAGUCUUCAUCACAUUGUUCUUAACAAAUUGCUUUUGGGUUCCCUUUUGCCGGCUCGUUGUUAAGAUCAACCUCUGAUAGCGCUGAAAGCUUUGCAGCGCAUGGACCUCCGAGGAUCUCAGAAGAAUUCUCAUAUUCCUUUUCAAAACAAACCAUACUCACCAUAUGCGUCUCAUUACGAACAGGCGAUGGACUUUGGCUAGUGUCUGUUGCAUCUGGAUUUUGCACGACAAUGUCACCUGCAUUAAUAAGCUUAUAAAUUGCAUUUUUUAGGUGCCAACACUUUUCUGUACUAUGACCCGGGGCAUCGGAGCAAUAUGCGCACCUUUGAGAAAAAUCAAACUUCUUUGGCAGAGGGUUUGGCAUUUUUAUCUGAAUCGGCUUCAACAUAUCCAAUUGCCUCAACCUUUGGAACAAACUGGCAUAUGAUUCUCUAAUAGGGGUGAAAGCCUUUUCUUUUUUCAACAGUCUUUUCAGUUUGUAUUCUGGCCUCGGUUGGAAACUUUUGCGGGUAGGUGGCUGAUAUGCUUGAGGAGGCGGGUAAGACAUUUGUGGAAGUGGUGCAGGCCAUCGCGGGCCUCAUGGGUGUGGAGCAUAUGGUGGUGCAUUGUGGAUAGGGUACUAGGAAAGUGAUGUACGACUUUGGGGGUUACGUGGAGAGAAGUAGCAUUGGGGAGGAUCAUCUGGUGCACAAGGAGAUCCAUGGGGUCGAUGUCGAGGCUGAACGCGUUGAGUAGGAAUGCCCAGUGGAUCAUCUUUUCUAUUUCUCUUUAUUCCACCCAAACUUACUGGGAUGUUCUGAAUGUCUUCCGUAGUAUCUUUCAAUGCCGAAUAACUCAUGAUUUUGCCUGACUUGAUUCCCUUUUCUACCAUAUUCCCCGUUUUUACCACAUCAUUGAAAGGUUUACCCAAGGUCGGAAUCAAAUGACUGAAGUAGGUGGGCCCCUAAGCUUGUAGGAAAAGCUCAACCAUUUCUUCUUCACCAAUCGAGAGACUGACUCGAGAAGAUUUCUCCUUCCAUCUGAGCCCAAACUCCCUAAAGCUUUUCUCCAGUUUCUUUUCCAUCUUAGAUAGGGAGGAGCGGUCUGGGGUAAUGUCUAAUUUGUAUUGAAACUGUCGAACAAAAUCUUGAGCCAUGUUGCCCAAUGUAUGCCACUUACCGACAUAUUGACGAUUAUGCCAUUCCAAAGCUGCCCCAGUCAAGCUCUCACUGAAAUACGCAAUCAACAAAUCAUCUUUCUCGUCAGCACUACUCAUUUCCCUGCAAUAAACCCUCAGAUGGGCUACCGGAUCUCCACGGCCCUCAUACAAAUUGAACUUUGGCACUUUAAACCCCGCAGGCAGAUGAACAUCAGGGAACAUAUAAAUCUGAUUUCUCAUCCCUUGCAUGCUCCUUAAGGACUAUUCCAUACCUUUCAGCUUCCUGGAUAUCUCAUCUCGCCCUUCUUUUCCUGUGACCUUUUCAUUUUCAGCAUGAGGCUCAUUCCGAGUGCUCUCCUUGUAUGAGCUAAGAACCUUGUGGGCAACCUCUGAGAGGUAAUAUUGGGCAUCAUGAGCUCUGAGUGGGUAUUCAUUGUUGGAUAUAGUGGAUAUGACAGGAGGGCAAUUUUGGGGAAAGGUAAUUGGAGGACGAGUGAUGGAGCUACUAGGGUGGUUGGGAAAGCUGUGAUAAGCAGAACAAUCUGGAGAGUAUGGGGAAUCAUCUGGCACUAUGACCAGAGUUUGGGUAAGGGUAGCAUCUAGGAAGGUAAGUGGUGGAGGGGGUGGUGCCUUCCUAGUCAUCCAAGCCUGAUACAUGUCCGCCAUGUGUUGUCUUAACAUCCUCACCUUUUCAACUAACCCAUUGUCCUAUUCAACCAAUUGCUUUUGGGCACCCGUAUCAACCAACUCAGUUCUGUUGUCAUCUGCCAUUGCCUUUCAACUUUAUGUUGUAGAGAAGAGUUACCACUUUAAGAACCACAAACCAACCACCUUUCUGCUAUAAUGAAGAUAACAAAAGGAACAAAAUGAAGUCAUCACGUUAGCGUUAGGGCAUUUAACAUAAGAUAAUCUCAUUUUAUGUGCAAUGCACCUAGCCACAGUUACCGGUUCUAAAAUGACUUCGAGGGUACGAAGGUCAGUUGGCAUCAUCCCAAUUUGUUCAUCUCAAUCCUCUCUUUUCUUUGCUUUUCUAGCACUUGCUUGCUCAUUUUCCUUCCUUUUUUUGCUAAUUAUCACUCUCUUCUUCCUCUCAUUUUUCACAUCCCAUCAUUUCACCCCUUUUUUUCUUUUUUUUCUCUUUUUUUUUCCUUUUGUUUUUUUUUUCGUAAAAAUAAAACAUUUUGAUCGAACCCUAUAUAGGUUGCCUACUAUCAUGACGCCGCAUGAAUCAGAUCUUUGCGUACUUUGAGAAGAUCGCGAAUAGACUAAAUAAACUAACAUUCUCUUUUUUCUUUCUUUCUCUUUUUUCUACCUUAAUGACCAAUCCGAAGAGAAAGAAAAAUAAAGGAAGAAAAACUUUUUUUUUCUAGACUUAAUCUUCUAUAACCUAUUCUAAACUCAAGAUUAACGGAUUUUUUUUUCUUUUGAAACAAAUACUCUAUUAAGGAAAAAUCCUAGAAGAGAAAAAUAUUUUUUGACUUUUUUUUGUGAAGGAAAUCUAAAAAAUAAGCCAAAGAAAAACUAUUUUUAAUUUUAGUUUGAUAUCUUGAAAGAAAGAUUUCGAACCAAGAAAUAAAAAAGAUGAAAAUGUUUUUGGAUUUCAGUUUGACUACAUAUGGGAGAAACUCUGAAAAUAAACUCAGGAUAAAGUAUGUUAUUUUUUUUCUUCUAUGUACAAUGUCCUAAAGUUCUAGUAAAAUUAAAAAAGAAUUAUUUUUCAUUUUUCGUGAAUUUCUCAAAGAAGAACAUCAAAAGAAAAUAUAUUUUUUUUUGGAUUUUUGGAAUUAAUAUCUUAAAGAAAACUUUUAAAGAGGUACUAAAACUUUUUUUUUUUUUGAAUUUUUAGUCUUAAUAUACGAAAGGAAAUAUAAAAGCAAUUUAUUUUGAGUUCUAGAAAUUAAUUCAAUAAAGGAAAACCACCUCAAAUGAUUUUUAUUAUUCCUAGAAUUAGUAUUAUAAAAAAAACUUCUACCAGAAAUAUAAAAAUGUAACUUUUUUUUUUGGAUUUUUGAUUUAUAACACAUUUUCCAAAUACAAAGUAGAAAGUACAAUAACAAAAGACUCGACAUUACUGUACAAAACUAGAAAGUAAAAGAUGAUAUAAAAUGAAGAACAUACUCAAUAACACUAUGUGAGACAAUAACACUUCCUGUUAGACACAUGCAAGACAUGAUUGUGGCUGUUUUUCUAAAAUUAAUCAGUGUGGCUAAAGUGGCUAAAAAUGCAAGAUUUGGCUAAGACCCCGCAAAGCGAAGAACCUAAGAUUCACUAGGAAGACCGGACACUAUGUGGAUUGCCUAAGAAUUAGGUAUGCGUAGUUCGGGCAAAUUAGAUACGGGCAAGAAUUAAAAAACUAACUAAUUUAGAGAAAACAUAUUUUGCUUUGAAAAAUGAUGAAACAUAUAAACUCUUUUUGGAUUUUCUUUUCCUCUUUUUUUUGAUUUUUUGAUUUUCGAAAAAUGAUGAAAAAGUGCAAAAUCUUUUUGAAUUUUUCAUGUUUUUUUUUCCUUUUCUUUUAAAAAAUGUGAAAGAGAACAUAACUGGGCCCUACUUGCCUUAUUUUCAAACUUCACCCUCUCUUUUUUUUUCAUCUGCCCUCAACUAUCAUUGGUCCGCCAAAUGACCCUUUUACCCUUGAAGAAAUGCAACAUGUAGCACAUAUGAUGCAUCAGGAUGGUCUUUUAUUUUGGGGUACACUUGUCCUAGACGGACCCAACCUCUGUGUUGAGUCCCCAAAGUCAAAUGCAUAUGAUACAAACAAUAGUUCCUACUAGGGAUCUGGCAUGAGGCUGAGUUAUUCUGAGUUCAAAACCUGGGUAUGUUGUUCUAGAUUUGUGUACCCGAGCGGCCACAUCGAGCCGGGGGGGCUACGUACCGGGAACCAAAAUGCCAUCUGGCUUUGUAACUUGUCCGAGCCUCUUCCUAAUUUAAGGUAUGACACUAACAUAAGAGGAGUCACGCCAGUGUGCACAUCCCCGAAGAUGAGAAGAGAAGGGUUUCGUAGCAGUUUAUAUACAGUUCAGAUAAUAUAAAAGCGGUAAAAGCAACAUUUAGCACAUUAGGCCCAAACAUGUAAUUAAAACCAGAUAAUAAAUAAAAGCCAAAUAUAACAAUUAUUCUAAGCUCGAAUUCUUGAACCCUGAACUAGAGAUUAUGGGUUCUUGUCCCCAGCAGAGUCUCCAGAGAUGUCACACAUCCUUUUUCUACCACCGAAGGGGUAUAUAAGGGAGUUUGUCCAAUUUAAGUGACAAUCGAAACAGGAUUAUUUAUUUAGAAAUCAGAGUCACCAAUUGGGAUAAUUUAUGGUGUUCGAUGUCACCGGUUUAAAUCCCGAAUCGAGGAAAAGAUUGACUCUGUUUUACAGUCCGCAAACACAGAAAUUCGGGUAAGGAAUUCUGUUAACCCAGGAGAAGGUGUUAGGCAUUCGCGAGUUCCGUGGUUCUAGCACGGUCGCUCAACUGUUAUUAUUGGUCUAAUAAUCUGAUUUUAAAACACUUUUAAGCAUAUGUGUAUUUUUUAACUUUCUAACCGCUUUUAGUAUUUCAGGAAAAUUCAAGGUUAUUUAAAACACAUCGUAGGCCACUCUACAUGAAAUGCACCCGCGGUUCACGACACAUUCUAUUUAACCUUGUUGGAAAUUGGAAUCGGGUCACAUGAAAUGCACACUCAAAUUUUGUAAUUAAAAAUCACAGCUAUAUCAUGGGAACCAUACCCGUUGCUAUGACAAUUAUUUAAUUAACGCGCCUAAAGCAAACUACGAAAGUUCAAGGCAUUUUUUGUACUAGUUUUUGUAUUUAUGUGAGGGCCAUACAUUAUGGAUUUUGUUUGCAUAUGCACACCUCAAUUAUUUGUAAAAAAAAGAAUUAUUUCACUAAGGUAAACUAAAGAUACUCCUAUUUUAAUUUAAUUUAAAAUUAAAUAUCACCACCACGUCACGAGAAAUGUACCCGUAGUCACAAUGAUGAUUUAUUUUCAUGCCUAAAGGUUUGCCUACCCGGAUGUUGUGGCCUAAGUAUGUUCUUAGGACCAAUUAAGAGAAUAAAAGUAAUAAAUUUCAACUUUUUUUCAUUUAAUAACAAAGCUCGUGGCCACAUAUUAUUAAAAGUUUUUCUAAACCAAUACAACCCAUUCAAUUGAAGCGAAGCAUCCAAUCCUAGUAUACCAAACGAAAUGAAAUGAUUAUAAGAAAUCAAACCCCAGUUGACCCAGUGUAUUAAUUCAAAUGAAUUUCAUCCAAGCAAAUGUAUGGUUUCUGGAAAUUUCAACAGAGAGAUAGGAACAAAACUUAUUAAAAUUCAAUCCACUUUAAUCAUAGAAAUCCGCAUCGCCAUAAUCAAACCAACAAGGGAAAGCUAACUACUGUAGAUUAAUACACAUAAUGAUGAAGUAUGCAUUGAUUUCACAUUCUAACUUGAAUAAAGACGAGCAACAAAUCAUCGUGCUUAAGGUUUUCACAUAUCCUUUUCAUGCUAAAAUCAUAUCAAAAAUAGAAUAAUAGGGAAUCGACAAUGAACCUGGACUGAAAUUCUUCUUAGUAACAGUAGAGGAAUGAGCAUAUACAAUGUUUUUCUCCCAAAUUUAAACUGAGAACAACACAAUCAAGCAGAAACGCGAGCCACACCACGAACCUCAGACAAAAACUCGAAUCGGCAUCAAAACAAACUCAAUCGAACCCCGUCGAUUCCAUGGAAGAAAAGGGAGUGGCGAUGAGAGGGGGGCUGCUAUGGUGGUGGAAGAGCUCGACGACAGUGAGGCGCGACUGGGUUCUCUGAGGGGAUUGGUUUCCGACGAAGCAACGAUUGCUGGUGUGGGCUCCGCUGGAGAUGAGGAAAGGGGGGUCGUUUGGAGAAGACGAAGUCAGGGCGUGGGGUCAUUUAUGGCUGCGGCGGAUCUGUUUUUUCUCUUAGGUCUAGGUGUAUUUUU